GAGUGGCGAACUGGUGAGUAACACGUGGGAAACCUGCCCAGAAGCGGGGGAUAACACCUGGAAACAGAUGCUAAUACCGCAUAACAACUUGGACCGCAUGGUCCGAGCUUGAAAGAUGGCUUCGGCUAUCACUUUUGGAUGGUCCCGCGGCGUAUUAGCUAGAUGGUGGGGUAACGGCUCACCAUGGCAAUGAUACGUAGCCGACCUGAGAGGGUAAUCGGCCACAUUGGGACUGAGACACGGCCCAAACUCCUACGGGAGGCAGCAGUAGGGAAUCUUCCACAAUGGACGAAAGUCUGAUGGAGCAACGCCGCGUGAGUGAAGAAGGGUUUCGGCUCGUAAAACUCUGUUGUUAAAGAAGAACAUAUCUGAGAGUAACUGUUCAGGUAUUGACGGUAUUUAACCAGAAAGCCACGGCUAACUACGUGCCAGCAGCCGCGGUAAUACGUAGGUGGCAAGCGUUGUCCGGAUUUAUUGGGCGUAAAGCGAGCGCAGGCGGUUUUUUAAGUCUGAUGUGAAAGCCUUCGGCUCAACCGAAGAAGUGCAUCGGAAACUGGGAAACUUGAGUGCAGAAGAGGACAGUGGAACUCCAUGUGUAGCGGUGAAAUGCGUAGAUAUAUGGAAGAACACCAGUGGCGAAGGCGGCUGUCUGGUCUGUAACUGACGCUGAGGCUCGAAAGUAUGGGUAGCAAACAGGAUUAGAUACCCUGGUAGUCCAUACCGUAAACGAUGAAUGCUAAGUGUUGGAGGGUUUCCGCCCUUCAGUGCUGCAGCUAACGCAUUAAGCAUUCCGCCUGGGGAGUACGGCCGCAAGGCUGAAACUCAAAGGAAUUGACGGGGGCCCGCACAAGCGGUGGAGCAUGUGGUUUAAUUCGAAGCUACGCGAAGAACCUUACCAGGUCUUGACAUACUAUGCAAAUCUAAGAGAUUAGACGUUCCCUUCGGGGACAUGGAUACAGGUGGUGCAUGGUUGUCGUCAGCUCGUGUCGUGAGAUGUUGGGUUAAGUCCCGCAACGAGCGCAACCCUUAUUAUCAGUUGCCAGCAUUAAGUUGGGCACUCUGGUGAGACUGCCGGUGACAAACCGGAGGAAGGUGGGGAUGACGUCAAAUCAUCAUGCCCCUUAUGACCUGGGCUACACACGUGCUACAAUGGAUGGUACAACGAGUUGCGAACUCGCGAGAGUAAGCUAAUCUCUUAAAGCCAUUCUCAGUUCGGAUUGUAGGCUGCAACUCGCCUACAUGAAGUCGGAAUCGCUAGUAAUCGCGGAUCAGCAUGCCGCGGUGAAUACGUUCCCGGGCCUUGUACACACCGCCCGUCACACCAUGAGAGUUUGUAACACCCAAAGUCGGUGGGGUAACCUUUUA
rnacentral:rRNA from 2 species